CGCACAUUGCGCCCGCCGGUAUUCCGGCGGGCAUGCCUGUUCGAGCGUCAUUGCAACCCUCAGGCCCGGCCUGGCGUUGGAGGACUGCGCAGCAGCCUCCCAAAGCGAGCGGCGGCGGCGCCUCGGAACCGAACGCAGUAGCACAUCUCGUUCUGGAUCCCGGGCGUUGACCUGCCGGAAACCCUUCUCUCGUGGUUGACCUCGAAUCAGGUAGGAAUACCCGCUGAACUUAA
rnacentral:misc_RNA from 1 species